rnacentral:rRNA from 1 species
GACGAACGCUGGCGGCGUGCUUAACACAUGCAAGUCGAGCGGUAAGGCCCUUUCGGGGGUACACGAGCGGCGAACGGGUGAGUAACACGUGGGUGACCUGCCCUCAGCUCUGGGAUAAGCCUGGGAAACCGGGUCUAAUACUGGAUAUGACUCCAUGACGCAUGUUGUGGGGUGGAAAGCCUUGUGCGGCUGAGGAUGGGCCCGCGGCCUAUCAGCUUGUUGGUGGGGNGAUGGCCUACCAAGGCGACGACGGGUAGCCGGCCUGAGAGGGCGACCGGCCACACUGGGACUGAGACACGGCCCCAGACUCCUACGGGAGGCAGCAGUGGGGAAUCUUGCGCAAUGGGCGAAAGCCUGACGCAGCGACGCCGCGUGAGGGAUGACGGCC